rnacentral:lncRNA from 1 species
UUCAAACGCGCCGCCGGCCCACUCCACCGUCCCGCCGGCGCCAUGAGCCCUGCAACCCUCCGCGCCGACGGGGAACACCGCGCCCCCACCAUCUCCGGGAUCUCGCCGCCACAACCACCGCAACCCCCGUGCGCCACCAGGGAAAUCCACACCUCUACCAACGCCCCGAUCCCCUCCAACUAAUGCCACCACAUCCCUCUCUGGAUCGCGUCGCUGCCGCCAUCCUCCUUGGAUCUCGCCACCACAUCCUAGCUUGAUGCCGCCGCCGGCCUUCUACCGCGAUGCUGACUCCAGCCUCCUCCCGUUGCCUAGCCGCCCACGAUGCCUCCCAUCGCUGGAUCCCCAACUGGCCCGAAGACUGGCGCCUCCACCGACGAGGGCCACUGCUGAUCCCCCAACUCCACCCCGCGGGAUCCGCCACCGCCAGCAACUAGUCGUCGGAGAGCAACCGCACUGCCUCGACCUUCUCCACCUUUACCUACCUUUCCAUCCCUGAGCUCUUCCUGAUCCCCGCCUCGCCCGUGCCAACCAGGUCUCCUCCGCCAUGCCUCUGCAGGUCGAGCUCGCGCCGCUGAACGAAGUUGAAAUGUCAUAGCAACGGCCGGACGGAUUCAACGCCAUUGGAUAUUCUCCGUUCUAGCUGGAUCCAUCGCUUCCGCUGCGACCAUUGCUGGAGCUGCUCGGGACGAGGCCUCUGGUGUGCUGCCUCCUCUUGUCAUACCUCCUUCGAGCUCCACCAUGGUGAAGUCCUACUAGAGCAAGACGUCAGGUUCUACUACAGCAGGCCGGCCGUGGUGAAGUUCUAACUCGCACGCGAGGCCGCUGCCUGCACCGCGCGGCCGGUGCCUCAAGCCCCAUGCCGGACAUUGGAUCCACAGCGCAGGGGGUUGGUGCACCACCAUCCAGCUGCAUUGGUGAGUAAGGUCCUCCGCCGCGGCCGGGAGCGGCAUCCCGACUUCGACCAUCUUGUUAAUGUCUUCAACCAUGUCCAAGGGAGACACAAGACGAUACAAAUGUAUUGAGCAGCUGAUCAGCUUGUAUUGUGCAGGCUCGCAUGGGGCAGGGGGAUGCAAUGGAUAGAUCCACGUUCCAGCCAACCGCAGCUGCUGUCUUGCAUGUAAUAAUAAGUUAUAAGAUAUUUGUUGUGCUAUACUGAAGAUAUUAUUUUGUCAGAAUGCUGAAGAUAUUGAUUUCUAAAAAAUGCUGAAGAUACUGCUCGCAAUUGUAUGAAUUUUGUACUUAAAAACCUCUUUUUGGAUCCAAAUUUGUUCAUUUUGGAUUCUCUACCUGGAAGGUCGAGUAAAUUUGUCGUGGCAGUACGAACAAAUAGCGACGGCGAGGUCAUAUGUAUUUUUUCUACUAGAGCGCUCGACCAGAG